rnacentral:rRNA from 1 species
UACGUAGGGGUGCAAGCGUUAAUCGGAAUUACUGGGCGUAAAGCGUGCGCAGGCGGUUCUGUAAGUCUGUCGUGAAAUCCCCGGGCUUAACCUGGGAAUUGCGAUGGAGACUGCAAGGCUAGAAUCUGGCAGAGGGGGGUAGAAUUCCACGUGUAGCAGUGAAAUGCGUAGAGAUGUGGAGGAACACCGAUGGCGAAGGCAGCCCCCCUGGGUCAAGAUUGACGCUCAUGCACGAAAGCGUGGGGAGCAAACAGG